GAGAACCUAGUAAAUACAUUACAUAGCUUUGUCAUAGCUAAAUAACAGACACCUGUGGCUCUCA
rnacentral:tRNA from 1 species